rnacentral:rRNA from 1 species
AUUGAACGCUAGCGGGAUGCUUUACACAUGCAAGUCGAACGGCAGCGCGGACUUCGGUCUGGCUGCGAGUGGCGAACGGGUGAGUAAUGUAUCGGAACGUGCCCAGUAGCGGGGUAUAACUACUCUAAAGCGUAGCUAAUACCGCAUACGCCCUACGGGGGAAAGCCGUGGAUCGUAAUACCUUGCACUUUUUUAUCUGCCGAUAUCGGAUUAGCUAGUUGGUGUGGUAACGGCUCACCAAGGCGACGAUCCGUAGCUGGUUUGAGGGGACGACCAGCCACACUGGGAGUGAGAAACGGACCAGACUCCUACGGGAGGCAGCAGUGGGGAAUUUUGGACAAUGGGGGAAAGCCUGAUCCAGCCAACCCGCGUGUGAGAUGAAGGCGUUAGGGUUGUAAAGAACUUUUGGCAGGAAAGAAAAGACGCGGGCUAAUAACCCGAGGAAGUGACGGUAACUGCAGAAUAAGCACCGGCUAACUACGUG